CCUACGGGUGGCAGCAGUGAGGAAUAUUGGUCAAUGGACGAGAGUCUGAACCAGCCAAGUAGCGUGAAGGAUGACUGCCCUAUGGGUUGUAAACUUCUUUUAUAUGGGAAUAAAACGUUCCACGUGUGGGAUUUUGUAUGUACCAUAUGAAUAAGGAUCGGCUAACUCCGUGCCAGCAGCCGCGUUAAUACGGAGGAUCCGAGCGUUAUCCGGCUUUAUUGGGUUUAAAGGGAGCGUAGGUGGAUUGUUAAGUCAGUUGUGAAAGUUUGCGGCUCAACCGUAAAAUUGCAGGUGAAACUGGCAGUCUUGAGUACAGUAGAGGUGGGCGGAAUUCGUGGUGUAGCGGUGAAAUGCUUAGAUAUCACGAAGAACUCCGAUUGCGAAGGCAGUUCACUGGACUGCAACUGACACUGAGGCUCGAAAGUGUGGGUAUCAAACAGGAUUAGAUACCCCGGUAGUC
rnacentral:rRNA from 1 species